UACAGGGGGGGCAAGCGUUAUUCGGAAUUAUUGGGCGUAAAGGGCGCGUAGGCGGCUUUUCAAGUGACGGGUGAAAUCCCUCGGCUUAACCGAGGAACUGCCUGUCAGACUGGAAGGCUUGAGACCGGGAGAGGUGAGUGGAAUUCCCAGUGUAGCGGUGAAAUUCGUAGAUAUUCGCAAGAACACCAGUGGCGAAGGCGGCUCACUGGCCCGAUACUGACGCUGAGGUGCGAAAGCGUGGGGAGCAAACAGG
rnacentral:rRNA from 1 species